AUUGAACGCUGGCGGCAGGCCUAACACAUGCAAGUCGAGCGGAUGAAGGGAGCUUGCUCCUGGAUUCAGCGGCGGACGGGUGAGUAAUGCCUAGGAAUCUGCCUGGUAGUGGGGGAUAACGUCCGGAAACGGGCGCUAAUAACGCAUACGUCCUGAGGGUGAAAGUGGGGGAUCUUUGGACCGCACGCUAUCAGAUGAGCCUAGGUCGGAUUAGCUAGUUGGUGGGGUAAAGGCCUACCAAGGCGAGGAUCCGUAACUGGUCUGAGAGGAUGAUCAGUCACACUGGAACUGAGACACGGUCCAGACUCCUACGGGAGGCAGCAGUGGGGAAUAUUGGACAAUGGGCGAAAGCCUGAUCCAGCCAUGCCGCGUGUGUGAAGAAGGUCUUCGGAUUGUAAAGCACUUUAAGUUGGGAGGAAGGGCAGUAAGUUAAUACCUUGCUGUUUUGACGUUACCAACAGAAUAAGCACCGGCUAACUUCGUG
rnacentral:rRNA from 1 species